rnacentral:rRNA from 1 species
UACGAAGGGGGCUAGCGUUGCUCGGAAUGACUGGGCGUAAAGGGCGCGUAGGCGGAUGGUACAGUCAGAUGUGAAAUUCCUGGGCUCAACCUGGGGGCUGCAUUUGAUACGUGCUGUCUUGAGUUCGGAAGAGGGGCGUGGAAUUCCCAGUGUAGAGGUGAAAUUCGUAGAUAUUGGGAAGAACACCGGUGGCGAAGGCGGCGACCUGGUCCGAUACUGACGCUGAGGCGCGAAAGCGUGGGGAGCAAACAGG